rnacentral:lncRNA from 1 species
CAGAUUGAACGCGUGCUGCUACAUCUCGUUUAAUCUGCUGAUUGCUCGUCGCUCGUUGCAGUGCUGUUUCGUGACGGGCGCCGGGAAACUGGAGGCGAAGCUGCCGUCUGAAGCUGUGGUAAUGCAAAGUAACUGUCCCGCACAGUGACAAUGUCAAACAGAGGAAAGGCUUUCAUGAUGAUGUCAACGGGCCGGCUGUUUGUGCGACUCUUGCUGAUCCAUUCUAUUGAGCUCUGUGAAUGAGAGAGCAGCAGAAGCAAGAGGAGGAGGGGGGGCAGCAGGCUACUGUAAUGUGGAAAACACCGGUGCAUUUACAAUGAGGGACGUCAAUUUGCUGUGAUGAUUUUCCUGUCUUUCAGGCUCAAAUCGCUGUAGCACUUUGAUGUUAUAUAUUUUGUUCAGGUGUUUGCAGCUGCAGCGCAAAGUGAGUGCCUUUGUGCCUGUGUGUGUGUGUGUGUGUGUGUGUAUGGAAGUGUGUGUGGGAGUUUGUGCCAGCCGACCACUGUACAGUCAUGUAUCCUGCCGCAGCGGCGCCAGGUAGGGAGCAAGCACAGUCUGUGCUGGAGCAGAAAGAGAGACAGCAGGCCCGAGUCCGAUAGCGUAAGCUCGCUUGAACUAAGCCUCAGCCAUCUAAAAUGUUAUGAAGACGAGACACCAGACUCAUUUGCCGGCAAGAGGAGGAAAUAUUGCAUGGGACCAUUUGAGGAGAUGAUUUUUCUUUGAAACCAUUUCUCCGGGUCUCUCCAAAGGGGAGUUUGAAAACAUGUCGACCCCAAUUAGCGCUUCAGACUUCAGACUGCACACCAGAGUCAACGAGUUUUUUUUUUUUUUUCAGCAUCAACACAGACUUACAAAAUUUUAAUUUACAUUUUCAUUAUCCGUAUCGUGAUUUUUUUCUACAUGUUUUUUGGAGAUGUUGAAUACGACAUUAUUUAUUGCUAUUUAUUGUAUCUGUAUAUUUUUUUUAAAGUAUUUGAAUUAGAAAGCUAGCUUUUUCUGAAUUAAUACUUUGUUUUAAAAAAAUGUGCAACAAUAAUACCUUUGGGAGGUACAUUAGAAUCUUAAAACCUGUGCGCUAAACUUCGCUCUUAAACGUGAUUUAAUUUUUUUUUAACCCUCAAAGGCAAAACAAAAUGUAGAAUUAGAAGAAUUAGACACGGUUUAACAUUACCACAACGUCAUGGAAUAAAAAUAAAAUAAAAUCUCAUAGUUUCUCGACCGAAUUUUAUUUACAUAAUUAUUUAUUUAUUUAUUUAUUAGGAGAGGCACGCAC